GCGCAGCAGUCGCGAAACCUUUGCAAUACACGCAAGUGUGACAGGGUCAUCCCGAGUGCCGACCGCUGAGGUUGGCUUUUACCCAGUCUAGAAAGCUGGGGGAAUAAGGAGAGGGCAAGUCUGGUGUCAGCCGCCGCGGUAAUACCAGCUCUCCGAGUGGUGUGGACGUUUAUUGGGCCUAAAGCAUCCGUAGCUGGCUGAACAAGUCCCCUGUUAAACCCACCGAUUUAAUCGUUGGCUUGCGGGGGAUACUGCUCGGCUAGGGGACGAGAGAGGCAGACGGUAUUCCCGGGGUAGGGGUGAAAUCCUAUAAUCCCGGGAAGACCACCAGUGGCGAAGGCUGUCGGCUAGAACGCGCCCGACGGUGAGGGAUGAAAGCUGGGGGAGCGAACCGGAUUAGAUACCCGGGUAGUCC
rnacentral:rRNA from 1 species